rnacentral:tRNA from 1 species
GCCUGGGUGGCUCAGCGGUUGAGCAUCUGCCUUUGGCUCAGGGCGUGAUCCUGGGGUCCUGGGAUUGAGUCCCACUUCAGGCU